rnacentral:lncRNA from 1 species
UCACAGUGAAAGCCACCGUUGCCCGGGGAUGGGUCCCUGACACUUGGGGAAGUAGGAGCCCUGUGUGAUCGUACGUCUGAGUCUGGGCUGAGACCAGUCCUGGCCAGGGCAGUUACCAGGACGGUCUCCGGAGGCCGGGAUUCGCGGAGGGUCCAGCAGCAGGAAGAAACCCCAGGAGGAAGAAACCUCAGACAGAUCGCCGGCGAGGCAGCGCGGGAUCCCAGCCUCAGGCGUGCGCGGACGGUGUGCGGCGCACACAACCAAGCUUAGGAGCCGACUGUUAAGAUGCCCCAGUGACACGGACAAGUUUCUCCUCUGCAACCCAAUGAGAGCUGCUGACCACGAGAGCAUCGCGGGACCGCCAAAGGAUUCUGGAAAAUGUGGUCCCGGGUGGCCAGUGUGCGCUGACCUUCACCUGAAGGUACGGCUUGAAGGAAACUUCUGGAGGGUGGGGUGGUGUUGAAGAGAAGGCACAAUUGUCACCAUUUUGUUCAACAUGGGCGUUUUCUUUGUGCAUUGAUUUGCAUUUUUAAAGGAACUCCUCCUCAAAACAGAAGAAGCCUAUAGGAUUUUAACCUGGAAACUACUCAGGGAAUCUGGAAUAUUCCUUCCAGGGAUAUCUGCAGCUGAAACCUGGCAGUAAUUUAAACAAAACCAGACAACUCUUGGGGUAUGGUUGGAGCCUGAGGUCUACAGAUGGGUCAUUUUAUAUGCUGAGGUCUCCUCACUGUGGCGGGAUCCAGGCGCAGCUCUAGACCAAGAAAUGGGAGGAUUUUAGAGUGACUGAUGAUUUCUCUAUCAUCUGCAGUUAGUAAACAUUCUCCACAGUUUAUGCAAAAAGUAACAAAACCACUGCAGAUGACAAACACUAGGUAACACACAUACUAUCUCCCAAAUACCUACCCACAAGCUCAACAAUUUUAAACUGUUAGGAUCACUGGCUCUAAUCACCAUGACAUGAGGUCACCACCAAACCAUCAAGCGCUAAACAGACAGAAUGUUUCCACUCCUGAUCCACUGUGUGGAGAAGCACAGAGCUUACCCACUGGGGCCCUGCAUCAGAAGAGAUGCACAUGCACCGGGGUGUGCAUUUGAACGGAGCGAUCAAACCACCAUCCCCACAGCUCCUCUGUUCAUGGGCACUGCAGUCUGUGGCCUCAUGUCCUUUGGGGGACACAGUGGGAAGGUAACCCACAUUUCAGUGACACCAUCAAGAAAAACACACUGUGGCAAUUUGCCCUGAUUUCUCAUGGGCCUUUUCUCUUUUCCCUUUGGGUUGUAUAGACUUCCCUACUGUCCACCUGACCACUCUCAUGCUGCCCAAAACCAUAGCUUAAGUCAUCAGCUAGGCGUUUCUUGGUGUAACUAUCGAAAGGUGAGCCUUACCUGUUCAAUCUCUAGCGAGAUUUGUUCAAAAUCUGGACCUAGAAGAAUAAAUAAACAAGAUUUGCCUGAGUAGGUUUGGCUUUUUCCUUCUUGGGGAAAGCCCUUAAGAAAUAUCAGCCCCUUGGCCAGGCACCC